AAUUAUACAAUAUCCGCGUAUAUAAUAAUAAUAACGUCGAUGUCGCGCGGUAAUUAUUAAUAAUGAUAGUAAUCUAAAUAAUAAUGAUAAUAAUAAUAUUAAACUGUACAAUUAUACGCGUAUAUACUCAUACACUAGAGGUCAAUGUCACGGAGUAUUAUCGGUUAAAUUGCCGCCAUUUCGUCGUUGUCGUUUGUAAUAUUUUCUUUCCUCUUAUACAUGUUGCGUAUACGUAUGUUCGCAGGGAAAAGAGAGUUGAAAACAAAAAAGUGUAAAAGAAAAAAUUAUUUAUAUACAUCAUCGCGAAGGGGCGAAAAAAACGGCAGUUAUGUAUACCCGGGAAGCCCGGAGAUUAUCCCGAAGGAUAAUCCGAUCCGAUCGUAUACCGUACGGAAGUCAUCGGUCACAGAUGUAUCCUCCCCGAGAAAUCUUUGGGAACGAGAUAUCGAGAUAUCGAGGGUGACGAAGAGAAUAAAAAUGAGAAAUGAAGAAAGAAAGGAAAAUAUUGAAAACAGAAAAGCGGAGAUGGUUGACAGAGGGCGGCCGAGGGCAGAGGUCACGGUGUUGGAGAGUUCUCGUUGGUUCGGAAUUCAGAGCACGUAGAUCGGGUCCUUGCAAACUGAUAUUCUGGCCUCCUGCAGAAUCCUUAAUCUAGGACCAAGAGGUUAUCGGGCGUUUGGUUUUGCUCAUAUUCUCUCUCUCUCUCUCUCUCUCUCUUCACUCCACGUACCUGGAUCAUCAAGUGUUGCGUUCUCAUUUCCGAACUCAAAUGAGCCACGGAUCUCGCCAGGGUGACAACGUGGGACUCGAGCCUCUGGAAUCUUUUGUUUAUGCUCUGCGAACAGGAAAAGGUAGACAGUACCCUGCUUACGUCGUACCUUGACAUCUUUGGCUUUUUUCAUCCUGUCGUCGACCAUGUGCGAUCGUCUUUUGUCGUGGUGUCUUGUGACCGGUCUGGAUGACACGGAUGACGUGGCGUCGUUUGUACUGAGAUCGGAAUCGCUUCUGUCCAACAUGGAUUCCAAAUCGAGGCCGGUCGUCGUCGACGUCAGAUCGGCGGCUUCUAUCCCGAAAACUGAGAUCUUCGGGGAUCGGGGGGGGGGGGGCGCCACUCCGAACGAUGGAUUUUCCCGCAGGUCGAACGCCGGAGUGAAACGAGUCGGAAGAAAUCUCUGGAGAUCCGGUUCGUCGGGGAAUCGACGGACCGUCGUUCGUCUUCCGCUCUACGCUAGAACUCGUACGAAGUUACUCGUCCUACUGGAAGAACUUGGACUUUCCAUUGAGUGAACGUCUGCCGGUUGGUUCCGCCGUUCUGGCCUCGCUUCCGGUAUACAUGGAUAGACCAAAAUAUACACACACACACAUAUAUAUAUAUACACACGUGUAACGUCAUCUUCGUCCAGUCCGUCCACGCGCGGGUGCUGCGAGAUCUCCCGGGGUAUUUCGUCGUCCGGGUACCGCUCGAGGUUCCAUAACCAUUUGCAGGACAAAUAACGCGGACGACGACGCGAUCGAGAACGAGGGGAAAACGGGGGAUCGGUAGGAAAGAUCUUCGAUCGUCCAUCCCGUGUCCAUCUUUUUUCGCGCUUUCGAUUCUCGCCCACGCCGCGCGGCGCGUGCGGAAUUUCGUCGACGUUGACACGGUUUUUUUUUUUCUUACUUCUUUUUCUUUUUUCGUUUUUUUACUUGUUUCUUCCUAUUUUUUUUUUUUUUUCUUCAUUUCUCUCGUCUCGUCGGACAUUUUCCCCCCCCCCCCUCAAUCGGGCCCGCUACGCCCGAUUCGCAUCAUCUCCGGCGAGCAUAUUUUUUUUUCUCUCUCCCGUCCUCGUUCGAACGACGAGUAACAACUUACUUCGUUCUGGUACCUAUAUUCCGUAGCGCACGGGUUAAUAUACAGCGAGUAACACGCGACUAUAUUCACGGCGUGUACGGCGUAGAAACGGGCGACGACCACGUUUCCACCUGUAUAAGAACCAGGUAGUACGGGGAAUCAUGCAUGGUUGAACUUCCUAAGUGUUCUUAGAGAGCGUUCCACUAAAGUCUCGAGGUCCGGUGGCCGGACGGACGGACGGACGGACGGCCGUGCAACGUCCCGAGAUACACACGAAAAGACGAAUUUUUCCCACGUGGACACGGGGCGUGGUGAGGGAUGCCUGAGAAACAAUUCUUGGGAAGAUUGAUCGAUUCUCGUUCGUUUUUUUGGUUUUUUUCAUCGUUUGGGCAAAACUAGAGAAAAUGGUAACAGAGGAAAGACAGAGAAAAAAAAAACCAACAACAGCUUCGCAGUUCUGCGUACGGCUAUUUGUGGGAGAAAGGAAUAUACGUGGGUACAGUCGGGCAAAGAAGAAUCGUCCGCAGGCGUCCCACUCCUCCUCCUCCGAUUCGCCGUAACUCCGAAGAGAGGAGAAAAUAAAUACCGAGGAGCGAGAACGACUCGUCCGCCCAUUGGCGUGUUGUUACCCUUCUCUCCCUCUUCAAAAGUUCCGCACGCCGUUCGACGGCCUUCGAUGUAACGAUGAUUCGGAAAAACGAAAAACGACGGACGAACAAAAAACAAAUUAGCGAAACGAAAGAACGAACGAAAAACUGAACGCUCCAUUCGAUUGUCCGAUAUGCAGCGAAUUCAAUAUGCCGACGACGAGGGACGAAUGAUUGAUACGGGGCCGCAGAUUUUUCGUUGGAACGGCGGGAGCAAAAGCGUACGAAGAAGGAGUAGGAAAAGGAGAAGGAGAAGGAGAAGAAGAAGAAGAAGAGGUAGUUGUGGUAGUAGUCGGACCUCCACCACCGUUCUCGUAACAGACAGGUGAAGAAGAGGAAGAAGAAGCAGUACCUAUGGUGGAUGUUGAAGAAG